rnacentral:rRNA from 1 species
GAGUUUGAUCAUGGCUCAGAAUGAACGCUGGCGGUAUGCCUUACACAUGCAAGUCGAACGGGGUUUUUUAAAAUCCAAGUGGACGACGGGUGAGUAACACGUAAGAAUUUACCUCUAGGAGGGGGAUAACAAUUCGAAGACUGCUGCUAAUACCCCAUAUGCUUUGGCGAAAUUAAUUGUGCAUAUGUAGUAAAAGGCAUAGAUAAUAAAUGUCUUUUUUCAGACAGACCUAUGUGCCUAGAGAGAAGCUUGCGGCUGAUUGAUUAGCUGCCGAGCUGAUGCUUCACCACGGCCACGAUCCCUAUCUGGGUUGACAGGAUCAAAUCACUCACUGUGGCUGAAACCCUGACCGUGCUCCUGCGCGAGGCGGAUGAGGGGAAUUUUCCGCAAUGGGCGAAAGCCUGACGGAGCAAUACCGCGUGAGGGAUGACGGCCUAUGGGUUGUAAACCUCUUUUUUCAGGGAGGAUAAAUGACGUGUACCUGAAGAAUAAGCAUCGGCUAACUCCGUGCCAGCAGCCGCGGUAAGACGGAGGAUGCAAGUGUUAUCCGGAAUCACUGGGCGUAAAGGGUGUGUAGGUGGAUUAAUAAGUCAACUGUUAAAUCUCGAGGCUCAACCUCAAAAUCGCACUUGAAACUAUUAGUCUAGAGUAUAGUAGGGGUAAAGGGAAUUUCCAGUGGAGCGGUGAAAUGCGUAGAGAUCGGAAAGAACACCGAUGGCGAAGGCACUUUACUGGGCUAAUACUAACACUCAGACACGAAAGCUAGGGUAGCAAAAGGGAUUAGAUACCCCAGUAGUCCAAGCCGUAAACGAUGGAUAUUAGGGGUUGGGCACAUCGACCUGUGCCGUGUCAAAGGUUAAGCGUUAAGUAUGCCGCCUACGAAGUAUACUCUCAAGAGUGAAAGUCAAAGGAAGGGACGGCGCCCCCGACAAAGCAUGGAGCAUGUGGUUUAAUUCGAUGCAACACGAAGAACCUUACCAGGGUUAACAUGAUUUUCCAGAGAUGAAAAAGAAAAGACCCUUUUGGGAAACAAUACACACAUGGCGCAUGUCAGUUGUCAUCUUGAGUCGUGAGAUGUAGGGUUAAGUCCCGCACCGAGCUCAACCCUCAUUUUUAGCUGGUUUAUAGAGGGACAAAAAGGAGACCGGUCUAAACCGGAGGAAGGCGGGGAUGACGUCAAGUCAGCAUGCCCCUUACAUCCUGGGGUACACACGUGCUACAAUGGAUGAGACAAUGAGAUGCAAUUCUGCAAAGAGGAGAUAAUCUCCUCAUCAUUGGGCCCUCGGAGGACAGGAGUCAACUACUCGACUCCAAGAAGUAAGAAUUAGUAAUAAUGGGUCAUCUACUCAGCGGUGAAUUAUUUGCCGGGCGGCGUUCACCCCAUCCGUCACACCAUCGAAGCUGGUUAUUCCCGAAGUCGCUACUUUAACCUUUUAUUGGAGACAAGGUCCUAAGGCAGAAUUAGUGAUUGGGAUGAAGUCGUAACAAGGUAACC